rnacentral:lncRNA from 1 species
UGUUUAUGUAGUGGAUUACAUUGAUGGAUUUCCAUAUACUGAACAAACCUUCCAUCCCUGGGAUGAAGCCUACUUGAUCAUGGGGAACGGAGCUGGAUUCCCAGCACCCACAAGUAUCUGCACUCCAGGUAAAGGGUUCCAGUGCCUUUUUCUGCAUUCUGAGGGCACUGACCACACAUGAUCCAUGGUCAUGCAUGCAGGCAAAACAGUCAUACACAUAAAAUAAUAAAACAUUUUUAAAUAGAGCACCCUGGUGGUAUAGAGGUAAGCAUGGCUGCCUUCCAAAAUGCACCACAUAAUUAAUUAUAGAAACCUUCCCCUCCUGACCACCAGGAAGACUAUCAGCAGGUUCUACCUAUGUAUGGGUGAGUUAACAGCAGGUUGAAUGAUUGUGUAUGCGGAGAGGCUUCCUGCCUGGUGGCUCCCACACUGAGUACAAAUGGAGAAAUGGGGUUAGCCUAAGAUUCAGAGAGUGUAUAUGGGACAAGAGAGGAAACAUCUGAAGGAGGAGAGUCAAAUCUGG